rnacentral:tRNA from 1 species
GGAAAUGUGGCUUAGUGGUAGAGUGCUUGCCUUGCAUGCAUGAAGCCCUGGGUUCAGUCCUCAGUACCA